rnacentral:lncRNA from 1 species
AUAUGGAUUUUAGGGCUCAAAAUGUCUCAAAAGGGUAGAUCUAGGGUGAACAAGCAACAUGGGGCCAUAAAGCUAACAGAUCUGAGCUCCUGGAGCUCAAUCUUGCCUAGAUCUAAGGGCCAAUCAGCCUAUUACGAAAUAAUUUGCACAUACAAACUUGGGGUUUGGCUCAAGAAUGACUUACAUGAAGUAAUAAGCAUAGAAACAGGGGAAAAACGGAUUAUACCUCAAAGGAACUGCUGAAAGAGUGCAAAGAUGCCUGGAUUCCUUUCCUUCCUCUUGAUCUACUUCCCCUUUUUCCUCAAAACCUUCAAGAACACACACAAUAGCCUCAAACUCUCAAGGAACAAGCUUAGAACGUGGGUUGGGAGCUCUGGGGAGAGAAUGGGGGCUGGCCUGGGCGGAUAAGUCCUUUAAAUAGGGUGCAAACCCCUGAAACUUAGGGUUUCAUCCAACAGCUGUGACUCGCCGAGUCCAGGAUAUGGACUCGCCGAGUCGCCAACUUAAACGUGUCCCGGGUCCCGCAUCCACUCAGCGAGUCGGACCUAUGACUCGCCGAGUCCAAGGCUAAAAGAAAGGAAAUACUCAAUUAACAUUUACGUACCAGGAACCGGGUGCUACAAAUCUCCCCCACUUAUUUUAGACUUCGUCCUCGAAGUCUGCUGCUCGAUCCUGAAACAGCUCGGGAUAAUGCUCCAUCAUCUCGUCCACCGGCUCCCAAGUCCAUUCCGAACCCUUGCGGUGCUGCCAUUGCACCUUCACUAGCUCCACCUUCUUGUUCCUCAAAUCCUUCGACUUCCUGUCGAGGAUUGCGACUGGGCGCUCAAUGUAAUUCAGGCUGUCAUCAACCUGAAUAUCCUCCAAAGGUACUACUGCAGAAUCGUCCACUAGGCACUUUCGCAACUGAGAAACAUGGAAAGUGUUGUGGAUCUGGCUGAGCUCGGCUGGCAGUUCCAACCUAUACGCUACCUUUCCUACCCGGGCUACGACCCUAAACGGUCCGAUGAAUCGCGGGCCCAACUUGCCCCGCUUCCUGAAUCGAAUAACGCCUUUCCAGGGCGACACCUUCAGGAGAACCAUAUCCCCGACUUGGAACUCCAAAUCGGAUCGACGCUUGUCGGCAUAACUUUUAUGCCGACUCUGAGCAGUCUGAAGCCUGCUCCGGACCUGCUGGAUACUCUCGCUCAUCUUGAGCACCACUUCGGUGCUCCCCAUGACCCUCUGGCCAACUUCACCCCAGCAUAUAGGGGUCCUACACCUCCAUCCGUACAACAUCUUGAAGGGAGGGCGGUCGAUACUCGUGUGAUAGUUUUUGUUGUAGGAGAACUCGGCCAGGGGAAGAUAGGUAUCCCAGCUACCACCGAAGUCUAGCACGCACGCCCGCAGCAUAUCCUCCAGAUUCUGGAUGGUCCGCUUGCUCUGACCAUCCGUCUGCGGGUGAAAGGCGGUGCUAAAAUGCAAACGAGUGCCCAACUCGUCAUGAAAUCUCUUCCAAAAUCUGGAAGUAAAACGCACAUCCCUGUCCGAGAUAACCGAUACUGGCACCCCGUGCCGCGCCACGAUCUCCCUGAUAUAGAUGUCGGCCAAUUUCUCGGCCGAUAUGCUCUCCUGAAUCGGGAUAAAGUGAGCACUCUUGGUCAAUCUAUCCACGAUGACCCAAAUCGAAUCCACUCCACGUGCGGUCCUGGGAAGCUUCAUGAUAAAGUCUAUCGUGAUAUCUUCCCAUUUCCAUAGUGGAACAUCCAACGGCUGCUUCUUGCCAUGCGGUCUCUGAUGUUCGGCCUUGACCUUCCUGCAGGUCAAACAUCACUCGACAUACCAUGCCACAUCCCGCUUCAUGCAGGGCCACCAAUAGUCUAGACGAAGAUCCCUAUACAUCUUCGUCGCCCCGGGAUGAAUAGAGAAUCGGGACUUGUGCGCCUCCUCCAUCAAAAUCUGGCGCACGCCUCCGUGAUACGGCACCCACACCCUACGGUGUAGUGUCAAUAGUCCCCGGCUAUCGUAAUCAAAGGAGGAAGCCUGGCCCACCACACGCUCGCUCUUUUGAUGCUCCUCCCUGAUAGCCUUCUGUUGAGCCUUCCGAAUUCGCUCCAACAGGGGAGUCACCACGGUCAUCCUCAUGCAAACGUCCCUGAUCGGCGCCGCCUUGCGGCUAAGCGCAUCGGCUACCACAUUGGCCUUCCCCGGGUGGUAGAGGAUCUCGCAAUCAUAAUCCUUUACCACGUCCAACCACCGACGCUGCCUCAUGUUCAGAUUCGGCUGAUCCAUGAGGUACCUCAAACUCUUGUGGUCCGUGUAAAUGGUACAUCGAACCCCGUAGAGGUAAUGUCGCCAAAUCUUGAGGGCAAAAACCACCGCCCCCAACUCCAAAUCAUGCGUCGGGUAGUUCGCCUCGUGAGGCUUGAGCUGCCUCGAAGCGUAGGCAAUGACAUGCCCCCUCUGCAUCAGUACCGCGCCCAACCCAGAAAUGGACGCAUCACAAUAAACCACAAAAUCCUCUACGCCCUCUGGCAGGGCUAAGAUCGGCGCCUCACACAAUCUCUGUCUCAGCGUCUCAAAUGCAGCCUGCUGCUCGGGUCCCCACCGAAAGACCACGGCUUUCUUCGUCAGCCGCGUCAGGGGCACGGCUAUCUUGGAGAAAUCCUGGAUAAAUCUCCGAUAGUAGCCUGCCAAUCCCAGGAAACUCCGAAUCUCAGAUGGAGACUUCGGAACCUCCCAUCUCAUCACGGCCUCGACCUUGGCCGGAUCGACCAGAAUCCCGUUCUGGUUGACGAGGUGUCCAAGAAAUUGCACCUCGCGCAACCAAAACUCACACUUGGAGAACUUGGCAUACAAGCUCUCCCUCCUCAGGGUCUCCAACACCUCUCUCAGAUGCUCCUCAUGUUCCUCCCGAGUCUUGGAAUAAACCAAGAUAUCAUCGAUAAAGACUAUCACAGACCGAUCCAGCAUCGGUCUGCAUACGCGGUUCAUGAGGUCCAUGAACGCGGCAGGAGCAUUGGUGAGCCCAAACGGCAUCACCACAAACUCAUAAUGGCCAUAGCGCGUCCGAAACGCGGUCUUCUGCAUAUCCUCCUCCCUGACCCUCAUCUGAUGAUAACCCGAACGCAAAUCAAUCUUGGAGAACCAAGAUGCUCCCUGAAGCUGGUCAAAGAGGUCAUCAAUCCUCGGAAGCGGGUAACGGUUCUUCACCGUUACCUUGUUCAGCUCCCGAUAAUCUAUACACAUCCGAUGCGACCCGUCCUUCUUCUUCACAAACAGAAUCGGGGCUCCCCAGGGCGAACUGCUCGGACGAAUAAAUCCCUUGUCUAGCAGCUCCUGCAGCUGCGUAGACAACUCCUGCAUCUCGGGAGGAGCCAACCGAUACGGUGCUUUGGCUAUCGGAGCCGCACCGGGAACGAGGUCAAUCCUGAACUCCACCUGUCGCUCCGGAGGUAUCCCAGGUAGUUCCUCCGGAAAAACAUCAGCAAAAUCUCGAACCACCGGGACCUCGCUCACGGUCGCCUUACCCGCCUCCCGGGUGUCCAUCACGUACGCGACAUAACCCGCGCAUCCCUGCUGAAGGUAGCGCCUAGCCCUCGCUGCUGAACAUACAGUGGGUCCACACUGCGGCCGCUCUCCAUGAAUCACUAACUCUCCCCCGCUUGGGGUCUUGACUCGCACUAGCUGCUGUGCGCAAUCUAUCACUGCCCCAUUAGGGCUCAACCAAUCCAUACCAAUAAUCACCUUGUUCCCACGCAAUGGAAUGGGAACCAAGUCUACCAGGUAACACUCCUCAAACAGUCGCAGGACACAAUCUCGAAACACCAUCGAUGCUCGCACCGAUCGAUCAUCGGCAAUCUCUACCUCUAACGGGCAAUCUAACUCGCCUGAAGUCUCAUGAAAUCUCUUGCUAAGAGCAAGAGAAACGAACGAUCGGGAUGCACCCGAGUCGAACAAUACCUGAACCGGGAUGCCGUUCACAUGGAACGAUCCUAAUACACAUGUAUACACACGGAGCACAUAUCAAUAUCAUAACAAUGUAAAAUAAAAGAUAGAAGGAAGGAAUCAUACCCGUCACCACAUCGGGCGCGGCGCGUGCCUCCUCGGCAGUCAACUGAAAUGCCCGACUCCUCACCACUGGAGCCUCUGCCUUGCCCUGACGGCCAUCCGUGAUCCGCAGGGUCGCUGGAGCUGGCGCCUUCACUGGCGCUGAAGCUGUCAACAUGGGGCAAUUGGCCUUCUUGUGGCCCCUCUGGUUGCAGUGGAAACACAGCAACUCCGAUGUCUGAAUAACGGUCGCAGGAGCAGUGCAAUCCCUGCUGAUAUGCCCAAACUUGCCGCACUUGUAGCAGCCUGACGAUCCCAUCCUGCACGCCCCCUCGUGCGGCCUGCCGCACCUCCUGCAGCGGCUCGGUCCCGACUGGCCUUUCGGCCUCCCAUCUGAUCCCUUGGGCUUCUUCCCCGAAGCCCCCGAUGACUGACCAUCCUCAAGUUUCCGUUUCCGGAUGUGCUCCAAAUCUAUCUCUCUCUCCCUAGCCCUGGCAAUCAUGGAGUCCAGGGUAGGGCAAGCCGAAAAACUAACAUGCUCCCGAAUGUCAGCUCGUAGCAUAUCAUGGUAACGAGUCCUCCUCAUAUCCUCGUCACCUGCAUACUGGGGCACCAAUAAAGCCCUCUCCCGAAACUUGGCGGUGAUCUCCGCCACGGUCUCUGUCGUCUGCCUCAUGUCUAAGAACUCCCUGGCCAGCUGCUGAAGCUCGACCGCUGGCGCAAACUCUGCCCUGAACCUAGCCACAAAGUCCGACCAGGUCAUUGCCUCGACAGCCGAGGCUCCCAUCGAGUCACCCACUGACUCCCACCAAUCUCGGGCCCGGUCCCGUAAACACCCUGCUGCGUACCUCACCUUCGACCCCUCGGGGCAGAAGCUGAUCAACUGGGCGGACUCGAUAUCCGCAAUCCACCGCCUGGCGACAAUGGGGUCCUUCACCCCAUGGAAAUCCGGCGCACCACUGCUCCUGAAGUCCUUGAAGGACAGUGUGCGAGAUCCUGACUGGCUAGAGGCCAAGUCGCUCCUGAAUGCCCGUAGGCGAUCCUCCAUCAUCUCCACGAUCCCUUCCUUGAUCGACCCAAAGAUGAUGGGGGUCGACUCAAGGAUGCCCCUAGUGAUCUCCGACGUGAUGAACUCACGUAGCCUCUCCUCAAUCGGCUCGGUGCCAGAUCCCGAACCUGACCCCUCUCCUGACCCGCCAUCUGUCGGUCUCGGUCGAAGUACCACCAUUCUGCAAAACAUCAAUAAUAAUCAUUAGUGGUACUGCUACUUUCUGAGGGAUCUCAACUACUUACAGGUUCCUUGGUCUCGUCUUGGCCUUCCUCGGCUCGGGUACGGAUCCUCUGCUUUCAGUAGUACGGGCCCAUACUACCUUCCACAUCUAUCCGUACCUUCUCCGAGGAAUUCCUCGACUCCACCAACUCCCCUCUACUACUGCUACUCUCCGAUAUUCUCACCCUAGGCUUGCCCUAGGGAGAACUCAAGUUCAACACAACUGGUCCUCAGCUGCUGUAGGUCUCCUCAUAAUGCCAGUUAGCCACCACCUAAACACCAUCACAUGUAAUGAGGAUUAGAUAAUCCUUCAAGUAAAAGAUCCGUCCCUACAACGGUUGGACUCAAACAAGAGCUGCGCAAUAGGGCCAGUUCCAACACUUUGGGAUUAUUCAACCCUGAUUACAUGUGGUGUGACGUGUUUACCUAGUGGCUCACUCCCAUUACUCAGAAUCCCACCGAGCACGAAGCAAGCAGCAUUCGGAUAAGGAAAAACAGACUCAAGCCAAAACUGUUCUUAGAACAAGAAACGACACUUAACAUAGGAUGCUAAGCUCAUACUAUCAGGCAUAACCUAAACAGGCUACCCUACUGCUGUCUACUCAAUUCUAGCAUGCAAUAUUCAAUAAGCUGGAACAAAUAAACAGGCACAUAAGGCAUCACUCCUAGAUCCUUAGCCUAUUCUAGCAUGCAAUAUUCAUAAAGCUGAUAAACAUAACAUAAACUUGUAUGGGUACUAUGGGGAAUACUUACUUGAGCUCGGCCGGUCGCGCACGUCACACACUUUACUCUUUCUCGUGACUCUUUUCCGGGUUUUAAAGAAUAAUUUCUUUUGGAAAAAUCUUUCAAUCCCUCGGUUUGAGUCCAAACACUCCCGAAGGCGUGUCCGAAUCCCUCAAACCAGGGCUCUGAUACCAACUUGUAACGACCCAAAUUUUAUUUUUUUUUUUUUUUGAUAUUACUUUAGAAAACAUUAAUAAAUAAAAACAUUGUCUAAAUAAAAAGAAACAUUGUUUGUUCACACCAUAACACAUUGCAACCAUGUUCUCAAAAGCCAAACCGUACAUCCCAUCAAAUAUCAGAGUACAAUCCCAGUAAAUCUCAUAAAUGCGGAAACCGAAGAGUGUGUGUAUGACGUGCCGCUACCGCGCCGGCUCCUUCCCCUUCGAUGCAGAGGUACCUGAAAACAAAACUGUAAACGUAAGCACAAAGCUUAGUGAGUUCCCCCAACGUACCGCAUACCAUACAAACACAUAACAUAUAUACUGCCAGGCUAUUCUGGGGUGCCUGACUACCCGGUACGGCCAUUCUGGGGUGCCGACCUACCCAUACGGCCAUUCUGGGGUGCCGUCUUACCCGUGUCAAGCCAUUCUGGGGUGCUGACUACCCAUCGGUCCUAACAACCGAUCCUCGGGGACUAUUUCACCCCUACUACUACGAUCACAUAUAACAUAACAAGCCAGCAUGCAUACAUAUCGUCACAUACUGUCAGACGUAUCUGGGGUGUCUGACUACCCUUCGGUCCGAACAACCAAACUCUACUACUAUCACAUACAGCAUAUCAUGCUAGCAUAUAACAUGUCAGGUACUAGCGAACUUAGAUGAUAUCACAAAGACAAUCAUCUAUCAUACAACUCCUACUGGUGGGUCGGCAUUGUGGCCUUAGACCCACCGCUACUGGAAGGUAACUCACCUCAAAGUAGCUGCUGAACUGAUCGGGAACUAACUGACUGCUGCUGCUCCGGGAGUCCUCCGGCUGCAAUUUCCACGACAUACUCAAUCAAACACUGCUAACUGUCCUUUAGGUAAAAUGACCAUUUUACCCCUGGAUUAACUCUAAGCCAAAGCUGGAGUCAACUUUCAGUUGACCCGACUCGCCGAGUGGAUCACCACUCGCCGAGUCCCUAGCAAACCAAUGUCCUGGGUCCCUGGUUCUACUCGUCGAGUCGGGCUAUGACUCGACGAGUUCACCUUCUAACUGCCAUUCAACACCUUCAUCCUACUCGCCGAGUUGUAUGAACAACUCGUCGAGUCCAUCUUCAUCCGAAGAACACUUAUGCUAAGACUCGCCGAGUUGUAUGAACAACUCGCCGAGUCUGUUCUUGAUCUAAGGAGAUUGCCUUGAACUCGCCGAGUCAGGGCAUUGACUCGCCGAGUACCUCCAUAGAUGAGUUUAGCUUCCGACUCACUGAGUCACACCCCGUGACUCACUGCUCACUCGACACUACGAAAAGGGGACAAACUCGGAGACUCGCGAACAGACUCGCCGAGUCAUAUGAACGACUCGCCGAGUCGUUGCCAUGCACCCACUAAAUACACAGAUUUGCUCGAUUCCAGUCCAUGCCAUUCACAGAUCUGGACUUCUAGGACACGAAUCACACGUAAAGUUUCCAACUUUACGUGUGGAUAUUCACCAAUAUGGAUUUUAGGGCUCAAAAUGUCUCAAAAGGGUAGAUCUAGGGUGAGCAAGCAACAUGGGGCCAUAAAGCUAAUAGAUCUGAGCUCCUGGAGCUCAAUCUUGCCUAGAUCUAAGGGCCAAUCAGCCUAUUACGAAAUAAUUUGCACAUACUGAUGGGAUUAAAAACAACUUUUAAUCUAUGAAGAUCGAAUAGAUCUUGAACAAGUUUAUGAAUAUGAAACAGUAAAAACGCAAUAAUAAGAACAAACAGCUUGAAUAAAACGUGUCGAAUGAUUAAAUAAAAUCCUUAGAAGAGCUCGAUUAAGAACAUCAACUGUAAAGGAUUGGAAGAUUACAAGAACGAUUACAGAAAAAUAUAGAACUCUUGAUCAAUCGCUAUUUCGAUAAUCUCUCUAGAAUCUUAACCUAAUAUGCAUGCAAGCAUUUAACUUAUAUACAAUACAUAAAAGGCUCUCGGUUGGACAGGCCCAAACCGGAGAAUACAAGGCUAAACAACGAGCCCAAAAGACGCAACAUCAAAACUAUCUUCAGCCCAACACAUACAAACUUAGGGUUUGGCUCAAGAAUGACUUACAUGAAGUAAUAAGCAUAAAAACAGGGGAAAACAGAUUAUACCUCAAAGGAACUGCUGAAAGAGUGCAAAGAUGCCUGGAUUCCUUUCCUUCCUCUUGAUCUAUUUCCCCUUUUUCCUCAAAACCUUCAAGAACACACACAAUAGCCUCAAACUCUCAAGGAACAAGCUUAGAA